UAAUACCGGAUAGAUCAAAGAUACUGGAAUGUUCUCUGGUCUAAAGCUCCGGCGCCCCAGGAUGGGUCUGCGGCCUAUCAGGUAGUAGUGGGUGUAACGUACCUACUAGCCUGCGACGGGUACGGGUUGUGAGAGCAAGAUCCCGGAGAUGGAUUCUGAGACAUGAAUCCAGGCCCUACGGGGUGCAGCAGGCGCGAAACCUUUACACUGCGGGAAACCGCGAUAAGGGGACCCCGAGUGCCAGCACCUAGUGCUGGCUGUCCCGCUGUCCAAACAACAGCGGUUAGCAAGGGCCGGGCAAGACCGGUGCCAGCCGCCGCGGUAACACCGGCGGCCCGAGUGGUAGCCGCUAUUAUUGGGUUUAAAGGGUCCGUAGCCGGCCUGUUAAGUCUCUUGGGAAAUCUGGCGGCUCAAUCGUCAGGCGUUCA
rnacentral:rRNA from 1 species